rnacentral:rRNA from 1 species
CAGGCCUAACACAUGCAAGUCGAACGAGAUCUUUCGGGGUCUAGUGGCGCACGGGUGCGUAACGCGUGGGAAUCUGCCCUUGGGUUCGGAAUAACAGCGAGAAAUUGCUGCUAAUACCGGAUAAUGACGUAAGUCCAAAGAUUUAUCGCCCAGGGAUGAGCCCGCAUAGGAUUAGCUAGUUGGUGGGGUAAAGGCCUACCAAGGCGACGAUCCUUAGCUGGUCUGAGAGGAUGAUCAGCCACACUGGGACUGAGACACGGCCCAGACUCCUACGGGAGGCAGCAGUGGGGAAUAUUGGACAAUGGGCGAAAGCCUGAUCCAGCAAUGCCGCGUGAGUGAUGAAGGCCCUAGGGUUGUAAAGCUCUUUUACCCGGGAUGAUAAUGACAGUACCGGGAGAAUAAGCUCCGGCUAACUCCGUGCCAGCAGCCGCGGUAAU